rnacentral:rRNA from 1 species
GACGAACGCUGGCGGCGUGCUUAACACAUGCAAGUCGAACGGAAAGGCCUGCUUUCCCUUGUGGAUUGCGGGUACUCGAGUGGCGAACGGGUGAGUAACACGUGAGUGAUCUGCCCCCAACUUGGGUAUAAGCCCGGGAAACUGGGUCUAAUUCCCGAUAGGACUGCAGGGUGGUGCCUGUGGUGGAAAACGAUUUUCUAGUGGUUGGGGAUGAGCUCGCGGCCUAUCAGCUUGUUGGUGGGGUAAUGGCCUACCAAGGCGGCGACGGGUGGCCGGCCUGAGAGGGUGGACGGCCACAUUGGGACUGGGAUACGGCCCAGACUCCUACGGGAGGCAGCAGUGGGGAAUAUUGCACAAUGGGCGGAAGCCUGAUGCAGCGACGCCGCGUGGGGGAUGACGGCCUUCGGGUUGUAAACUCCUUUCGACCGCGAGGAAGCCACCUGGUUGGAAGGGUGGUGACGGUAGUGGUAGAAGAAGCACCGGCUAACUACGUG